GCGGAAGGGAUCAUCGCCCAAAAAGACGUUGUUGCUACGUUCUCUGGCGCCCGUCGCUACUGUCGUAUCCAGUGCCCGUCGUCACUAGUGCAGAGCUAAAGGAUAGACCCGGCGUUGCCGUCUUCUGUUGUUGCUACAAAAUUUGCUUCUUGAGUUCUUGUGGCUUUUGUUAUUUGUUGCUCAAAUAGGAUAACUUGAACCAAGUGGCCGGUGUGUACAGAAAAAUACUCGGACUUGUUGUGGAAGACGAAGACGACGACUUUAGUUAAGCGGUGAAUCUGAAGGUGAGCAUAUGUGAUUGAUGUUAAACUCUGUUGGGUAUGCUUAAAGAGCAAAUAUCGAAACUUAU
rnacentral:lncRNA from 1 species